AACGAACGCUGGCGGCAGGCCUAACACAUCCAAGUCGAGCGAGACCUUCGGGUCUAGCGGCGGACGGGUUAGUAACGCGUGGGAACGUGCCCUUCUCUGCGGAAUAGCCACUGGAAACGGUGAGUAAUACCGCAUACGCCCUUCGGGGGAAAGAUUUAUCGGAGAAGGAUCGGCCCGCGUUAGAUUAGAUAGUUGGUGGGUAACGGCCUACCAAGUCUACGAUCUAUAGCUGGUUUUAGAGGAUGAUCAGCAACACUGGGACUGAGACACGGCCCAGACUCCUACGGGAGGCAGCAGUGGGGAAUCUUAGACAAUGGGCGCAAGCCUGAUCUAGCCAUGCCGCGUGUGUGAUGAAGGUCUUAGGAUCGUAAAGCACUUUCGCCAGGGAUGAUAAUGACAGUACCUGGUAAAGAAACCCCGGCUAACUCCGUG
rnacentral:rRNA from 1 species